rnacentral:rRNA from 1 species
AUGCAGAUUAUGCCAGAAUUUGUGAAGACACCUGAAACCAAACUUUUGCAGCAUCUGCAGUCGUCCAAGUAUAGAUUUUCCAAAAACAUACACGGCCGUUCGGUUGCACUAUCUGCAGCCGUCCAAGUACAACCACAAUGGCAGCUGUCGAGCAGACCAAGUGCAGCACCCAUUGCACGGAGAUUCCCGUCAUUGCUGACCCUCCGGCGAACUUCCCUACCACCUCGUCGUGGACCUCUCCCUGCUGGUAACAUGCUCCGGCGAACUUCGCCAGCCUACUUCACCGGCUCCGUCCCCGUACUCGUCGGCUGCGGUGUCGCGCUCCUCUUCCACCGCUCCUCCUCCUCCGGCGCAGCGCCCCUUGCCCACAAGGCCGCCGUGGGCAAGGCCCUCGCUGCCAAGAAGGAGCAUGAGGCCGAACACAACGACGACCGGAGGAAGCAGCGACGAGCGCCGUUGGUGCUGCGGUGGUGGAGCCCUACCAGGAGGAGGCUGAUUGUGGCGGAGCCCCAUAGGGAGGAGGCAGAAGGCGGAAGCAGGCGGGGCAGCAAGGAGGAGGCGGAAGACAGGAGCCCCGCCGUAGGUUGGUGGCGCGCGAAGUGGAGCUCUGGCGGCGGCGCGACACGGGGCUCCGGCGGCGGCGCGAAGUGGAUCUAG